UACGAAGGGGGCGAGCGUUGUUCGGAUUUACUGGGCGUAAAGGGCGCGCAGGCGGCUUUGUUUGUCAGGCGUGAAAGCCCCGGGCUUAACCUGGGAACUGCGUUUGAUACGGCAGGGCUAGAGUUCGGGAGAGGAGAGUGGAAUUCCCAGUGUAGAGGUGAAAUUCGUAGAUAUUGGGAAGAACACCAGUGGCGAAGGCGGCUCUCUGGACCGAUACUGACGCUGAGGCGCGAAAGCGUGGGGAGCAAACAGG
rnacentral:rRNA from 1 species